UAGCAUGUUCUGCACAUUUGCUUGCCGAGCAGAUUUGUUCUGCGAGUGUACUCGGGCUGCGCUGGUACCAAGGGCUCACGUGUUGUCUUGUUCCAGCGCGCCUGGCACGCCAGGAGGCGCCUCCCACAUCUAAAUGAACGUGUAUGCGCCUCUGCUUGAGUGCGUGCAACCCGAUCAGUGGUACGUUUGUCGGCGCCACCUCCCACUUCGUCCGGCGGCAACACCUCCGGGAAGGUGGCGGUGACCUCAGGCCGGGCGGCCGACCUCGGGGCGCUGACUGCCGCCGGUUGACUGUCACGUGACACCGCCAGCACGGCCGCUGCCACCGGCAGGGCUGACCACCCCCGGCCUGACCGGGGCGAGGCCCGGCCGGUCAUGAGUACGCCCGGGCAGCGAACAUUGGUCGGCGUGUGCGCCAUAGCAGGGCGACUGUAGGUCGCCGGUGACUGUGUUCUGUCCGUCACCGCACACGUGAGGUGCCAGGCAGCCGCCGGCGUCGAGUCGCUGCACGCUGUCGCCCGCGGAAAUUAGGCUGCUUCGCAUGGCGUCAUGUCUCCUCCGCUUCAUCUCAGCCCCCGCGGUCCCACCACACCUCCAGCAGGCUCCCACACUCGCCCCCGCAGCGUCUCUGCCUGCUCUACCCCUCGCUCCUCAGACGUCACGACCUCGUACCCGCGCUCCGCCGGUCGGUCUCGCGGCCGCCCGAGCGCUCGUUCGAGGGCCUGGCUAGCCCGUCACCUGCCUCCCGGCGGGCCCGCGCUCCCGGACCGUGCUCGGUGGGUGUGCUAGGGGGCGCGGGCCGCCCGGGCCGGGGCCGCCCGAGCGGCGAACCCUGCGCGACCCCGCCGACGCAGGCUCAUAUUUUUGUUUGCCAAACCCGGUUCUGUAUUGUCACUGAGAGUCCGAGUGGAAGUGUAUUUAUGAAAUCACAUGUUACAAAUAAAACCGAAAUCCCCGG